AUACGGGGGGUGCAAGCGUUAUUCGGAUUUAUUGGGCGUAAAGAGCGCGUAGGCGGCUUGGUAAGUCAGAUGUGAAAGCCCGGGGCUCAACCCCGGAAGUGCAUUUGAAACUAUCAGGCUUGAGUAUGGGAGAGGGAAGUGGAAUUCCUGGUGUAGAGGUGAAAUUCGUAGAUAUCAGGAGGAACACCGGUGGCGAAGGCGACUUCCUGGACCAAUACUGACGCUGAGGCGCGAAGGCGUGGGGAGCAAACAGGAUUAGAAACCCCAGUAGUCC
rnacentral:rRNA from 1 species